AUUGAACGCUGGCGGCAUGCUUUACACAUGCAAGUCGAACGGUAACAGGGUGCUUGCACCGCUGACGAGUGGCGAACGGGUGAGUAAUGCGUCGGAACGUGCCGAGUAGUGGGGGAUAACGCAGCGAAAGUUGUGCUAAUACCGCAUACGUACUGAGGUAGAAAGUGGGGGACCUUCGGGCCUCACGCUAUUCGAGCGGCCGACGUCUGCUUAGCUAGUAGGUGAGGUAAAGGCUCACCUAGGCGACGAUCAGCAGCGGGUCUGAGAGGAUGAUCGGCCACACUGGGACUGAGACACGGCCCACACUCCUACGGGAGGCAGCAGUGGGGAAUCUUGGACAAUGGGCGCAAGCCUGAUCCAGCCAUGCCGCGUGAGUGAUGACGGCCUUAGGGUUGUAAACUGCUUUUGUACGGAACGAAACGGUCCUGGUUAAUACCCGGGGCUAAUGACGGUACCGUAAGAAUAAGCACCGGCUAACUACGUGCCAGCAGCCGCAGUAAGAC
rnacentral:rRNA from 1 species